rnacentral:rRNA from 1 species
UACAGAGGGGCAAGCGUUGUUCGGAAUUACUGGGCGUAAAGGGCGCGUAGGCGGCCUGCUAAGUCGAACGUGAAAUCCCUGGGCUCAACCCAGGAACUGCGUCCGAUACUGGUUGGCUUGAAUCCGGGAGAGGGAUGCGGAAUUCCAGGUGUAGCGGUGAAAUGCGUAGAUAUCUGGAGGAACACCGGUGGCGAAGGCGGCAUCCUGGACCGGCAUUGACGCUGAGGCGCGAAAGCCAGGGGAGCAAACGGG